UACGGGGGGGGUAAGCGUUGUUCGGAAUUACUGGGCGUAAAGGGCUCGUAGGCGGCCAACUAAGUCGGAUGUGAAAUCCCCAGGCUUAACCUGGGAACUGCAUCCGAUACUGGAUGGCUUGAAUCCGGGAGAGGGAUGCAGAAUUCCAGGUGUAGCGGUGAAAUGCGUAGAUAUCUGGAGGAAUACCGGUGGCGAAGGCGGCAUCCUGGACCGGCAUUGACGCUGAUGAGCGAAAGCUAGGGGAGCAAACGGG
rnacentral:rRNA from 1 species